CGGGUAGGCGGUCAUGCAAGUCGAAUGUGAAAGCCCAGGGCUCAACCCUGGAAGUGCAUCCGAAACUGCAUGACUUGAGUACCGGAGAGGGUGGUGGAAUUCCUGGUGUAGAGGUGAAAUUCGUAGAUAUCAGGAGGAACACCCGAGGCGAAGGCGACCACCUGGACGGAUACUGACGCUGAGCCGCGAAAGCGUGGGGAGCAAACA
rnacentral:rRNA from 1 species